GAUAUCCGACGGCUCCACAGUCCACACCACCCACCUUCUGGCCACAAAACAAACUCAUGGCGCAGAAUAGCCACCCAGAUCUCGCAUUUUCUACGAUGCGCCAGGGGUGCGGCCCUCUUGGUUAGACCUUCACGCUUUGUUUCGCUUCCGUAUCAAACUUCGUAUUUCCCACUGAUCAUUUACAUGACCUCAGAUAAAUCCAUUUAGCAUUUACAAAUUCGAAUUUCAGCUUCCCGUAAUUGUAAUGGCUUGCCUUCAGCUGUUAAAAUCAGCUCCAUCAAUUUCACAGUCCAAAAUCGGCUGUUCCCGCGCGGAUUUCAGCUUGCAGAAAAGGCGAAUUAGGCUUCGGAAUUCAGGAAUUGCAAAUAAUUACAGAAGAUUUAGGGUUAAUUGCAAAGUAGAAGACGGUGGUAAACAGAGUAAUGGUGAAGAACCUCCCGAGUCUUUAUUUAUGAAGGAACUAAGAAGAAGAGGGAUGACUCCCACUUCUUUGCUUGAGGAAAAGAACAAAGGUGUUGUGAGGGAGGAGGAGAUGAAGUUUAGGGAAGAAGAUGGGGGUUGGGGUUACUCAAGAAGAAAUGGCACCACAACGGGUGGAGAAACAAACCUGACCGGUCAAAGGGAAACGUCCAUGGCGCUUAAUAGUGAAGGUCUUGGGGGUUUGAUCCCGCGAGGGAAACUUCUGCUUACCCUGGGAUGAACAUUUUUUCUGACAUUUUGGCCAUUGAUUCUUGUAAAUAUUGCACUUUUCCUUGCACUAUAUCUGUACUUUGGAACAGAAUUUGUUCACGAUGGACGUGAUCAUCCGAUAGCUCCGCCCCCAUAUGUCGACCCUUAUGAGUUGCUAGAAGAAGAGAGGAUGUAUAAGACUGCACCCCCUCUAAAUUGAAGGACAGCGAACUUGUGUAUAGCAGCAUUUCCACUUCAUCAAUGAUCCUAUAAUUUUGCUUAACUUACAACUUAGAAUGUGUAAAAGCAUCUCUCUCAAGUUGAACUUAAUAUAUAAUGUAUUUCUCAAGUUGAACUUAAUAUAGAAUGUAUUCUGGUAAUGUUGUUUCAUGAAUGAGUAAAUUAGAGGUAUUUAAGUUGUAA